UACGGGAGGCAGCAGUAGGGAAUCUUCCGCAAUGGACGAAAGUCUGACGGAGCAACGCCGCGUGAGCGAUGAAGGCCUUCGGGUCGUAAAGCUCUGUUGUUAGGGAAGAAUAAGUGCAAGUUGAAUAAGCUGGCACCUUGACGGUACCUAACCAGAAACCCACGGCUAACUACGUGCCAGCAGCCGCGGU
rnacentral:rRNA from 1 species